GUGGACGCAUCACUGGUGUUCGGGUUGUCAUGCCAAUGGCACUGCCCGGUAGCUAAAUGCGGAAGAGAUAAGUGCUGAAAGCAUCUAAGCACGAAACUUGCCCCGAGAUGAGUUCUCCCUGAGACUUUAAGUCUCCUGAAGGAACGUUGAAGACGACGACGUUGAUAGGCCGGGUGUGUAAGCGCAGCGAUGCGUUGAGCUAACCGGUACUAAUGAACCGUGAGGCUUAACCUU
rnacentral:rRNA from 9 species